CUCGGAAGAGAUAUUUCCCCAUGUCGGUCAACGCAGCUGCCGAAUCGAUUGCAUCUCGACCGACGCGAUUUCUUUCUAAAUAAGGCGUAGCAUCUCUGCCCUGAAUGAUAUCGUUUCAGGAGCCGAGACAACCACGUCUGUCUGGUUAACAGCCUAAUAAAGAUAACUCGUGGUUGGUUGAAGCGGUUUCGUUGGACCUCUAUCGGGAACUCUUGAUGGGUAGAUAGUACGAAAAUGCAGUCAAAGGAGAUCGAGAAGAUAUUGCGUCACCGAACUAAAUCAUUCGUUAAUGGAAAUUGCAUUCGCAUAAAAAAAUAUAGCAGUUGCGGUUGAUUGCGGUGAUCAGUCGUUUCCUCGAAAAGAAAUUCGUAACGCCGAUAAACAGAGAUCUUGGAAAGAGAUCUCGGUGACUCCAUUGAUCAUUGCAUAAGAUAGAAGAUCGAAUGGCCUGAAUUGAGAUAACUAAUAA